UACAGAGGGUGCGAGCGUUAAUCGGAUUUACUGGGCGUAAAGGGUGCGUAGGCGGUUUAGUGGGUGUGGUGUGAAAGCCCCGGGCUUAACCUGGGAAGUGCACCGCAAACUAUUAGACUAGAGUAGAUGAGAGGGUGGCGGAAUUUCCGGUGUAGCGGUGAAAUGCGUAGAGAUCGGAAGGAACGUCAAUGGCGAAGGCAGCCACCUGGCAUCAUACUGACGCUGAGGCACGAAAGCGUGGGGAGCGAACAGGAUUAGAUACCCUGGUAGUCCACGCUGUAAACGAUGAGGACUAGAUGUUGGUAGGGGAACCUAUCGGUAUCGAAGCUAACGCGAUAAGUCUUCCGCCUGGGAAGUACGGCCGCAAGGUUGAA
rnacentral:rRNA from 1 species